UUCCAUAGAGUUUUAGUAAAUUAAGAGAAAAUGCAGAGAAAUUGAAACUCAUUCACCUUUGAAUGUGAAUAUUCCUCAUCCUAUAACAAUGAUUGUUUAAUGUCUUGAUUUGGAGUUUCAUUAGGAUAUAAAACUCCUGAUGUGGCUUCCCUUUUAAUUGAGUAUAAUAAGGAAUUUAAUAAAAACACAAUUUACGAAAGUCACUUUUUCUAUGUCUAUUAGCAAUACAAACUGUUAGCGUUUUGGUACACUGCCCAUAUUUUAUCUUUUCUUUUUCCUUACAAAGCAGGGCUUCUUAACUGGAGAUAGAGUGCCAAGAGCUCCAUGAAUAGAUUUCAAGGCAGAGAGCUUCUCUGUGCUAACAACGAAGAUGUACAUGAUCUCGACUACAAUAUAAUUUGAAAUAUGGUAAAAGUGGAACAUGGAAGAAUCAUUUACAUCACAGUUAUUGCAGUUCUACGUGCCAUACAUCUGAGACAACAAUCAACAAAGUUCUCAGGGGCCUGUACUUGUGUGAGCACUGGCAUAGCUUGACUAAAAAGAAGACUGCCUCAGGAUGUCUCCCAAGAAAGAAGUCAAGGGACAAAGUCUACUAUUCUGUUUUCAAUAUAUCUUAAUUAAUGUAAAUAGCAUUUAGUUUUGAAAAAUGAACAUAUUAGAUGAUUCAACAAUGUUUUUGAAUUUUUCUUUCCUUCCAAUUGGACAUUUAAAUCUUAGUGUGGUUUACCCAAUUAGAAUAGCACUUAAAAUCUCUCAAGUUACAAGUCUUUCUAACUUUUAUAACUUAAAAUGAAAUCAUCUAUUGCAAAAUGCGUCUAUAUGAAUAUGCACGUUCCCCUUCCUUUAUAUUCCUUUUCUUUUCCCCUUUCUCUUCCUUUCCUUUUACCUUCCUUUUUCCUUCCCUUCUUCAUUUCCCUUUCCUUUUCCCUUCCUUUCUGUCUCCUUUCCUUUUUGUUCUCUUCCCUUCCCUUUAUCUUAUUUUCUUUUCCUUUCCUUUCCCUUCCCCUUCCCUUUCUUUCCAUUUCUUUUCCGUUCCCCUUCUUCUUACUUUCCUUUUCCCUUACUUUUCUCUUCCCUUCUCUUUCCCUUUCAUUUCCUUUCUCUUCCCCAAUAUUAUAACUUACAAGUUAUUUUUUUUUUGGCAACAGAUGAUUUCUUAUUUUUUCUGCAUUUGCCAUAAACCAAGCAAUUGAUCUGGGAACUUAAUAGUUGCAGCUCCUACCCUUGAAUUAUCCAGCAAAUUAGUUCAAUAUCUACAAAAAGAAAUCUUACAUCUUUCUCACCCUUUCUAUAGUCAAUUUCCUGUUCUCAAUAACCCCAUUCCCACACACUUUCACAUCAAAAAAACAAACUCCUCUUACCAUCAAAAAAGAAACUUACCUAUUAUAAAGGAGAAAUAACAAGAAAAUACUGGUCCAGGCAAAAGACAAUCCAAGGAAAACUCCUUGAGUCCUAGAGCUUAGGAACUGAGCAGUAAGUUUAAAUGGAUCUCAAGGUAAAAGUGAUGCAGUUGUUCUCUGAUGUGAGAUUAUCAAAAUCUGCAUUGACUCCUCUGCUGCUGGAGCUGCCCCUUUGUUCUAAGCACAAUGCUAAUGGUAAAAUUGUAGUUUGCUCCUGCUUGCUCAGUGAACACUGAUGCAGUCUGACACACAGCUUGUAGCCUGACUAUCUGACUAUCCAAGAGGAGGAGAAACCACAAUAUUGCAUCUGUGCCCCUCAUAUAAAUCUACCACAAAAAUGAGCCAGACCAGAUGUGUGAAUCUGAGGGAUGGAAAGCUGUGGUCAUGUUAAUGUUAUCUGACCUCAUUUGAAAAAUGCAUUAGAGUACCAGGAAAACAUAAAGUGAUUCUCCCUCCUCCCUUUCCUAGGUCAGGGGUGUUUAUUUGUCCAUUUCAAUUGUUAUUUCUUGAUGGCAAGAAAAUUUUGCCGCUAUAUAAAACCUUUAAUGAUUCAGAUGGAAAAGAAGCUCUUUAGGUCAGUGAAAGAUAGGGAGAUCUAAGUAUAACUGACUGAAAUUAUAUAUAUAAAAAAAACAAAGUCCACGAGCAGGAAAAAGCUCAAUAGAUUAACUUUUGAAGCUGUAGAAGAAGCCACCUAAGUAUAACAGCAUAUAGAUUCUUUUUAAUAGGGUUUUCCAAGUUUCUGUACAGGGUUACAGAAUUAGGGAUUGUAAAUACCUCUACUAUUUAUUAUAAUUUUUAUACAUGACAUUUCUUUAUUUCUUUCAUUUUUUUCAUCUUGUUGGAAAGGUUGUUAUCCAUUUUCUAAUAGAAGAAACUGGGGUAAGGAUCAACUCAGUAUAAUGAAAAAUACCUGACUUGGAGGCAAAAGAAACUGGAGUUUAAAUUUGGACUACCAUGUACUUCAAUUAUAUGAUUUGAGGCAAUAAAUUUUUUAAAAUUUUUUUCACCUUUAUAAACCUCAACUUCCUUAUCUUUAAAACGGAGGUUAUAUUAACAUUACCUGCCCCAUACAUUUAUGAAGAAAAUAAUUUAUGAAUUCUUUGGUUUAUUUCUUCAGGGACUGCUACAGUUUAAUAAACCAUGGUGUUGUGAGAAAAAAGUACUUUAACAUAAUCAAAGAUCUUUGCUACAGAAGACCUGGCUUUUCCAAUUAUUAUAGCAUUAACUUUAGCAAUCCACUUAGGCAUUGUAAAUCUCAGAUUUUUCAUCUGUAAAAUGGGAUCACUCCUUGAACUGUCCACUUCACAGUAUAUUUGUCAAGACCAAAUAGCAUAACAUGAAAGCUUUUCAUAAACCUUAAACAGAAAUGCAACUUAUUUACUUCUAAGAAUCUUUCACAAUUUAUUAACAUACAUAGAGCAAUAUAGUUAAAAUACAAAAUCCAUUUGUAGCAAUAUGUGUGUGUGUAUAUAUAUAUAUAUAUAUAUAUAUAUAUAUAUAUAUGGAGAGAGAGAGAGAGUGAGUUUUUGGUAAUAGUUCCUUGCACAUAAUAGGUGUUUAAGUUCAUUAAUCAAAAGUGCUUGUUUUUGUAGUAUCAUGCUUAUAUUAUUUUGCUACUUGUAGAAACUUUAUAACAUCUAACACCAUCUAAAAAUCAAAUUGAAAGGCCUUAUGAUGCAAUGAGUUCUCUGUCACUGGAGAAGUUCAGGCUUAUAGGAAAUGUUAUAAAGAAAAUUACAUUUGUGGAAAAUAUUGAACCAAAUGAUCAUUAAGAAUUCUUCUAAUAUGAAUUUUUAUUAAUUUGUGUCUAUUUCUGUAUUUUGCAAAAUUUCCUAGUCAAAUUAGUUCAUUUCCCCUAGGAGAAAUAUAAACAUAAAUAAAAUUUUUGCUCUCAAGAAAAUCCUUCUUUGCAUAUACUCAUCUAAAUUAAUUCACAGUAUUUUGUAUACAGUAGAAACUUAAUAUAUGUUUCCUUUUCCUUUUGGAAAAGGAAAACAGAAAUAAAGAUUGUGCCUUCUAAGGAAUGGUACUUCAGAAAAAUAAUAUUAAAACCAAGAUGGAAAGGAAAGUAACCAAGAAAUCUUACGUUUUCAAGAAAAAAUGUUAAAAUCAGAAAUGUUCCAAAUCACUAUUGAUUAAAGAAAUACAAAUUAAGAAACUCUGAGAUACCACUACACAUCUCUCAGAUUGGCUAAGAUAAUAGGAAAAGAUAAUGAUAAAUGUUGGAGGGGAUGUGGGAAAACUGGGACACUAAUGAAUUGUUGGUGGAGUUGUGAACUGAGCCAACCAUUCUGGGGAGCAAUUUAGAACUAUGCCCAACGGGUUAUCAAACCACACAUACCUUUUAACUCAGCAGUGUUUCUACUGGAUCUCUAUCCCAAAGAGAUCAUAAAAAAGGGAAAAAGGACCCACAUGUUCAAAAAUGUUUGUAGCAGCCUUUUUGUAGUGGCAAGGAUUUGGAAAAUGAGUGGAUGACCAUCAAUUGGGGAAUAGCUGAAUAAGUUAUGGUAUAUGAAUGUAAUGGAAUAUUAUUGUUCUAUAAGAAACAAUUAGUAGGAUAAUUUCAGAAAAGUCUGGAGAAACUUACAUGAACUGAUGCUAAGUGAAGUAAGUAGAACCAAGAAAACAUUGCACACAGUAACAACAAGAUUAUGGGAUAUACUCUGAUAGACCUGGCUCUUUUGAACAAUGAGGUGAUUCAGGCCAAUUCAAUAGACUUGUGAUGAAGAGAGCCAUCUGCAUCCAGAAAGAGGAUUAUGGGGACUAAAUGUGAAUCACAACAUAGUAUUUUCACCUUUGUUGUUGUUUGCUUGCUUUUUUUCCCUUAUUUUUUCCUUUUUGAUCUGAUUAUAGUUGUGCAGCAUAAUAAUGUGGAAAUAGUUUAGAAUUGCAC
rnacentral:lncRNA from 1 species